CACCCAAUCUGACCUCUUCACGCGGUUUUAAUUUACGAAUGUACCCUUUUGUAGCAUUGAUUUGUAGUUAAUAGCUUAUGCUAUAGUUAAGAAUGUGGGGCUAGUUUCGUCAUCCUAGCUAAUUAUGUGGCUUUAUUUGAGAGGUAAGUUUUAAAAAAUAACUAAUUUGUGAAUCAACCAGCACACACGCACAUUCUCGUUCUCUUUUUCUUUGAUUCUUUAAAUUCAUCACUUGCAAAUGGUUUCCAACCCCAACAAAUGCUUCCAGUGGUCUUUGCGCCUUCCUUCUCCUUAGGUCGUCGGUCUUCACGGGAGACAUUAUUCAGGUUUUGUAUCAUCUUCCUCUGUUUAAAGCUCAUCGACUACUUUCUCUACUCCUCUGAACCCCAGGCCGGGCUUUCUAGCAUGGGACAAAACCGGCACGAGCCCGGGAGGCACGAACACGACACGACACGA